AGGUCUUCAAUAAGUAUUUGUUGAAAGAAUAAAUGAGCCAACAAGUCUUAUUUGAGCACCUGUUAUG
rfam:Erinaceus europaeus unplaced genomic scaffold scaffold00647, whole genome shotgun sequence